rnacentral:lncRNA from 1 species
CAAAAAAUGGAGAAGAGACGGAGGGAAAGAAGGUCUGGCGACUGGUCCAAUUUGGGUUCCAUCUCAAGGAGAGGAUACAAGACCUGUCACUAUUAAUGAAGCAAUGCUCUUCGGCAGAUUAUUCAAGAACAUUUUCAGAGACUUAAACUUAGAAGAACAUAUUUCCCUUCGAAGAAAAACUAAGAAGAACAGCAUUCUUCCAGAAGAUCAGCAUCCCUGCAAGUCUUGGGCAUGGAGUGGAUGUGUGGGCUGCUUGGUAGCAGAGUCAGGAGAAGGAAAAGGUAGCUUUAAGAGAACAGAAAUACUCUUUCAGUCCAUUUUAAGCUGAGUUAUUUAAGGGCAGACAUGUAUUUAUAAG